rnacentral:rRNA from 2 species
UUUAUAUGAGAGUUUGAUCCUGGCUCAGGAUGAACGCUGGCGGCGUGCCUAAUACAUGCAAGUCGAACGAGUUCUCGUUGAUGAUCGGUGCUUGCACCGAGAUUCAACAUGGAACGAGUGGCGGACGGGUGAGUAACACGUGGGUAACCUGCCCUUAAGUGGGGGAUAACAUUUGGAAACAGAUGCUAAUACCGCAUAGAUCCAAGAACCGCAUGGUUCUUGGCUGAAAGAUGGCGUAAGCUAUCGCUUUUGGAUGGACCCGCGGCGUAUUAGCUAGUUGGUGAGGUAAUGGCUCACCAAGGCGAUGAUACGUAGCCGAACUGAGAGGUUGAUCGGCCACAUUGGGACUGAGACACGGCCCAAACUCCUACGGGAGGCAGCAGUAGGGAAUCUUCCACAAUGGACGCAAGUCUGAUGGAGCAACGCCGCGUGAGUGAAGAAGGCUUUCGGGUCGUAAAACUCUGUUGUUGGAGAAGAAUGGUCGGCAGAGUAACUGUUG